AUCAUACGUUGUAACUGUCAAGGCGACAGACGUGUGGGAAUUUGAUUGCCAAUUGUGCUCAAGUUUUCAUCUGCUACUCUGAUUGUGAUUUGUAAUUCUACACAUAGUUUGACCCGUCGAUCCUAACAACAACAUAAGUUUCGUAUCAACAACUAAUAACAUUUAUUUGAUAGUUGAUGGGGACCUGUUACACAUAUCUUGGAUUUCAGCUCUCCACAGUUAUCUUAUUCUCUUCCUGCCCAUGCCAAUGGUUUGAUGUCAAAAUUACUAAUGAAACCUGUGAAUCCAUGUAUAUGUGGAUGUCAUGUGCUGGUGUAUAUAAGUGUGCAGAGUCAUGUGCACUGAUGUGUCGACGAUGGGAGAUGUUGUACAGUCUCUCAGCUUUCCCAGUGUUGAGUAGUGUCAGCUCGACUCUGGAGGACUUGGUGAAACAACACCAACAACACAAAUUGUUAACUAAGGCAGCUGAUUCUUCUCCCUUUUGAUUAUGGAUAAUUGGAAAUCUUUACAAGUUGCUGGUUUCCAGAAAAUUUUAAAUAUUAUUAAAAAUACCCGACAAUAGAACUCCAGUGCCCGACAGCAGAACACCACUACCUACCGUAAACUAUUUUGUUCAAAAUCAUUGUGUUCUACUGAAUGUACCAUCGAAAUGAUACAGGAUUCAUGUUAAUUAUCAGCUGUUAUUUGUAUUGGACUUGCUAGAUCACCAACCACAACAUGAACCAAUCCAUCAUUCCUAAUUCUUUAGAGAACCUUGGAUAGCUGAUCGGCGGUUUCAUGUGUUCGUCUAAAUUACGGAUUUCUAAAUUGGCAUGGCAGACUUUAUGAGAAGUCAUUUCCUUUCAACAACAAAAAGGACAACAACAAAGUUCCUUGUUUGCUAACUGUCGGCUGCUACCCAUUUACUUCUUUACAAGGGCCCUCGUCUUCAUUUUAGGGUAAUCCUACCAGUAAUCCUUCGAUACUUGUCAUGGACUUUAUCCAGUGGUGAAAAUCAACAAGAGAAUGCUGUAAUUCAAGAGUGAUAAAUUGUGUAGUUAGCUAAAUUACAAGUGCAUAUCUGGGCUUCCUUCUUUUCUAUGGCCCCGUUUCCCUAACUAACCACUAACCAACG